CAAACCUCCAAAGAAACCAAGAGGGAGUAGAGAGAAACUGUGAUUUCGUCCACCCAAUUCUAUCCUGCAAUUGCAAAAUCUUUCUCCCUUCCAAAAAGGGGAAGGAAAACCUACCGUUGGAGUAGCAGCGUUGCAAACGGAAGAGCUGACCGCCCGAAGCGGCGGCGACGGAGACAGCGUGAUAACGGCGAUGACCGCAGCAGAGAAUGAGAGAGAGAAAGAGAUGGGAUCCGAUUGUUUUUUCCUUGUUACUGUGAGGGAGUGAAGAAGGAGAUAUGAGAGUUGGGAUUGUUUCUGCAUUGCGAAUUUUAGAAGAAUUUCAGAGAGAUAGAGUGAGAACAUAUUUGAGAGAGGUAGCUUUUGAUUUUGAGCGUCAAAAAUAGAGAGAGACAAAGAUGAGUUGGCUUUUGGGAAGUAGACUGUGUGCUGUGGGAGUAUAUACGAGUAUGGGGUUAGGCGCAUAGAUGUUAGGUUCUUUUAUUAAAUAUAGUUUUCUUUGUUUA